UUUUUUUAAGAAGAUGCCACAUCACCUCAUUUUUGUCGGCUAUUUGGCACCAGAUUAAGAUGGUUCCGAGAAAACCAAAACAGUUAAAAACACGAUGCCAGCUCGGUGGUGUAGCACCAGAGUCAACAUGAACGGCCAUUGGCCGUAUGCUACGCGGAAACAUUCCAGAAAAAAAAGGUGGUCCCGAGAUCAUCCACGCAACGCAAUGUUCCAGGGCCAUCCGUUUCUCAACGAUUGAAGUGACCAUUAAGUGAAGU